rnacentral:ncRNA from 1 species
UAUAAAUCGAUGAUUGGAAAUAGUAGGAAGGGAUAUGUGAAGAGAGUUGCUGGAUGGUGAAAAGCAAUCUUAGAACUUCUGAACUCGUCCAGGAGAUAGUAGACUGAAUGAUAAGUAAGUUUACUCGGUAGCUGCCGUUAAAGCAUAAGUGGGUUUUUAACCAAACUGAGUGGUACCGCGGAGUCUAACUUCGUCUCAAUA